rnacentral:misc_RNA from 1 species
AACCAUAGAAACCUGCGGAGUACCUGCGGAGGGAUCAUUACAAGUGACCCCGGUCUAACCACCGGGAUGUUCAUAACCCUUUGUUGUCCGACUCUGUUGCCUCCGGGGCGACCCUGCCUUCGGGCGGGGGCUCCGGGUGGACACUUCAAACUCUUGCGUAACUUUGCAGUCUGAGUAAACUUAAUUAAUAAAUUAAAACUUUCAACAACGGAUCU